CUUGGUCAUUUAGAGGAAGUAAAAGUCGUAACAAGGUUUCCGUAGGUGAACCUGCGGAAGGAUCAUUCAUAAUAAGUGUUUUAUGGCACUUUUUAAAAUCCAUAUCCACCUUGUGUGCAAUGUUGAAAAUCGCCUUUCGAGGUGGUUUUUUUUCUUAAUAUCAACCAAUCUUAAUUAAUUUGUCUUAAUACCUUGAAUUUACUUAAUUCAAAAUACAACUUUCAACAACGGAUCUCUUGGCUCUCGCAUCGAUGAAGAACGCAGCGAAAUGCGAUACGUAAUGUGAAUUGCAGAAUUCAGUGAAUCAUCGAAUCUUUGAACGCACAUUGCGCUCUCUGGUAUUCCGGAGAGCAUGCUUGUUUGAGUAUCAGUAAACACCUCAACUCCUUUAUUGUAGUUGGACUUGAGCUAUCCCAACAGGACUUUUGUUCCUGGCGGGAGGCUUGAAAUGCAGGUGCAGCUGGACUUUCUUCUGAGCUAUAAGCAUAUUUAUUUAAUCCCUUAACACGGAUUAUUACUUUUUUGCUGCAGCUAACAUAAAGGUUGAAUUUCCAUUGAGCUGACUGAUGCAGGAAUUUGGCAAGGAAUUUUUUUUAAUGACUUGUUAAACUCGAUCUCAAAUCAAGUAAGACUACCCGCUGAACUUAAGCAUAUCAAUAAGCGGAGGA
rnacentral:rRNA from 1 species